GUUUAGCAGUAUACAGUAUCCAUGGGGCUGGUUUUUAUUUGGAGGUCGACAGUUCAUAACAACGGGAGGGCUACAUGAACCAAAUUUAUUCGACACUGGAACUCAAAAUAAAUAUAUAAGACUAGUGCUACUUGGAAAGACAGGCGCAGGCAAAAGUUCACUGGGAAACAUUUUGCUUGGGAGAAAAGUGUUUAAAUCCACUCCUCUACAAACCUCUAAUGCAUUGAAACUUGAAUGUCGUCAUGGAUCGACCCAACUUACAGAUGGAACCAACCUAAUUGUUGUUGACACACCAGGAAUUGUGGACACUACAACUUCGACCACGGAAACAUUUGAAGAACUUACACGAUGCAUAGAGCUUUCAAACCCAGGUCCGCACGUGUUCCUACUUGUCCUGAAGAUUGAUAGAUUUACACAGGAAGAGAUGAACAUAAUCAAACAUCUGAAAUAUUGGUUUGGGCAGGAUUUCAUGAAGUACGCAGUAUUUAUUUUCACCGGUAAAGAUUCACUGGAUUAUGAUGGUUCAACGAUUGACCAGCAUCUUGAGGGCAGUCCAUCUGAACUGAAAGAUCUUCUCGGAGAUGCAGGCGGACGGGUUGCAGCAAUUAACAACCGAGUUCCCGGACCAGAACUUAAAGCUAUAAUGAAGUUGGUCAAACAAACCAUACAGGUUAACAAUGGUCAAUAUUACACCAAACAUAGGUACCUGCAGGCUGUGAAGGAGAGGGAGGGGCAGCCAAGUCUGGUGGAGGAUGAAGAGUUUGACCAUGUGAAGGAUUUGCGAUUACGGGAGCGAGCGAAAAAGUACAAAAGACGCGGUGUUGAACCGAGAUCAGAUAAAGUAAAUUUGUUUCUUUGUUGCGCUGGGUGUGUUUUUUUGACAGCAGGGUGUUGCUAUUACUAUUUUUAAUAAAUGCAGUAAAUGGAUAGUAAGAUAAUUUGGCUGCCUAGGAUGUGUGUGUUGGGGAGUAGGAUGUUUAUUAAAAGCUAUUUUUAUUGUUUUUGUUCGAUGCUGUAAAUGGGUAGUGUUUUCCACUUGAUGAUCGGGACUCGUAUUGUUCUGCUGUGAAAGUUAGAAAUACCGGAAAUGACACAACAAAAUGACACGUGCCGAUAAUAUGAGAAAGUUUGUAUUUUAAAUAUUAAAUAUUUAUUUCUCUUU